CUUAUCCGCCCGGGGAUUACGAGCCGCGGCUUAAAACCCAAAGGACUUGGCGGUGCUUAAGACCCACCUAGAGGAGCCUGUUCUAUAACCGAUAAUCCUCGUUUAACCUCACCCUCUUUUGCUCCCUUUCCGCCUAUAUACCGCCGUCGUCAGCUUACCCUUUGAGGGAUUAAUAGUAAGCAUAAAUGGCAUUGCCCAAAACGUCAGGUCGAGGUGCAGCGUAUGAGAGGGGAAGAAAUGGGCUACAUUUCCUAAUCAGGAAACUACGAAAGAUUUGAUUGAAACAUUGAUUCAGAAGGAGGAUUUAGCAGUAAAUGAAAAGCAAUGCGCUUCAUUGAAGCCGGCUCUAAAGCAUGCACACACCGCCCG
rnacentral:rRNA from 1 species